rnacentral:piRNA from 1 species
AGGAAAACCCUUGUUUGAACAAUAGGA